GCUUAANUAUUAAAAUUUUGGGUAUUUAGGACUGAAAAUCCUUGUGUCGGUGGUUCGAUUCCACCUCUGGGCACCA
rnacentral:tRNA from 1 species